rnacentral:misc_RNA from 1 species
ACCAACUCUGAUUGAUCCCAGUUUUGAAGUGCAAACUUUGCCGACUUUUGCAUCUCUAUUGCUGGAAAAUGAUAGGGGUUGCAAAUGAUCAAAUGUAUAUUUAUGUGUAUUUUUUAUCUGGAAAAGAAAAAUCUCUGAUUUAUACAGCUUCAUUUAUCAUAUGUUUUUUUGGAUUAUAUUUUGUUGGCAACAAUUGAUGUGCCUGCUGCCAAAGUGCUGAGAAAUUUUCA